AUUGAACGCUGGCGGCAGGCCUAACACAUGCAAGUCGAGCGAGCGGCGGACGGGUGAGUAAUGUAUGGGGACUGCCCGAUAGAGGGGGAUAACUCCUGGAAACGGUAGCUAAUACCGCAUACUAUCGGAUAACCCAUAUGGGAUUAGCUAGUAGGUGAGGUAAUGGCUCACCUAGGCGACGAUCCCUAGCUGGUCUGAGAGGAUGAUCCGCCACACUGGGACUGAGACACGGCCCAGACUCCUACGGAGGCAGCAGUAGGGAAUCUUGGGCAAUGGACGAAAGCCUGACCGAGCAAUGCCGCGUGUGUGAAGAAGGCUUUAGGAUUGUAAAACUCUGUUGGUAGAGAAGCGGUACCGAACCAGAAAGCAACGGCUAACUACGUGCCAGCAGCCGCGGUAAUAC
rnacentral:rRNA from 1 species